UCCCUGGUGGUCCAGUGGUUAGGACUCUGCAUUCUUACUACUGAGGGCUCAGGUUCAAUCCCUGGUUGGGGAA
rfam:Ovis aries breed Texel chromosome 5, whole genome shotgun sequence.